rnacentral:rRNA from 1 species
GUGGGGAAUUUUGGACAAUGGGCGAAAGCCUGAUCCAGCAAUGCCGCGUGCAGGAUGAAGGCCCUCGGGUUGUAAACUGCUUUUGUACGGAACGAAAAGCCUGGGGCUAAUAUCCCCGGGUCAUGACGGUACCGUAAGAAUAAGCACCGGCUAACUACGUGCCAGCAGCCGCGGUAAUACGUAGGGUGCAAGCGUUAAUCGGAAUUACUGGGCGGAAAGCGUGCGCAGGCGGUUUUGUAAGACAGUGGUGAAAUCCCCGGGCUCAACCUGGGAACUGCCAUUGUGACUGCAAGGCUAGAGUGCGGCAGAGGGGGAUGGAAUUCCGCGUGUAGCAGUGAAAUGCGUAGAUAUGCGGAGGAACACCGAUGGCGAAGGCAAUCCCCUGGGCCUGCACUGACGCUCAUGCACGAAAGCGUGGGGAGCAAACAGGAUUAGAAACCCUGGUAGUCC